UACGAAGGGGGCGAGCGUUGUUCGGAAUUACUGGGCGUAAAGGGCGCGCAGGCGGCUCUGAAAGUCAGAUGUGAAAGCCCCGGGCUUAACCUGGGAAUUGCAUUUGAGACUGCGUAGCUAGGGUGCGGAAGAGGGAAGCGGAAUUUCCGGUGUAGCGGUGAAAUGCGUAGAUAUCGGAAGGAACACCAGUGGCGAAAGCGGCUUCCUGGUCCAGCACCGACGUUCAGGCACGAAAGCGUGGGGAGCAAACAGG
rnacentral:rRNA from 1 species